UUGUAAGUGUGUAAGAGCGUACGGUGGAUGCCUUGGCACCAGGAGCCGAUGAAGGACGUAGGAGGCUGCGAUAAGCCUCGGGGAGCUGUCAACCGAGCUGUGAUCCGAGGGUGUCCGAAUGGGGAAACCCAGCACGAGUGAUGUCGUGUUACCCACCUGUGAAUAUAUAGCGGGUGUGGAGGGAACGUGGGGAAGUGAAACAUCUCAGUACCUACAGGAAGAGAAAACAAUAGUGAUUCCGUGAGUAGUGGCGAGCGAAAGCGGAUGAGGCUAAACCAUGCAUAUGUGAUACCCGGCAGGGGUUGUGUGUGUGGGGUUGUGGGAUCUAUUUUGUCCAUUCUGCCGGAUGGGCCGACAGUGAGAAAUCAGUGUGUUAGUCGAAGUGGUCUGGAACGGCCUGUCGUAGAGGGUGAGAGUCCCGUAGACGAAAACAUGUUGACUGUUGUAGUAGACACCCAAGUAGCAGCGGGCCCGUGAAAUCUGCUGUGAAUCUGUCGGGACCACCCGAUAAGCCUGAAUACUCCCUGGUGACCGAUAGCGGACUAGUACCGUGAGGGAAAGGUGAAAAGUACCCCGGGAGGGGAGUGAAAUAGUACCUGAAACCGUGCGCUUACAAUCCGUCAAAGCCUGCGAGCCAUUUGGUUGGCUGUGGGUGAUGGCGUGCCUUUUGAAGAAUGAGCCUGCGAGUUAGUGCUCGGUGGCGAGGUUAACCCGUGUGGGGUAGCCGUAGCGAAAGCGAGUCCGAAUAGGGCG
rnacentral:rRNA from 1 species